rnacentral:piRNA from 1 species
UUAACUGAGAUAUGCCUCUGACAAAUGAG